GCCGAGUCACUGAACGCUAACUUUUCCUUUUCUGCUCUUUGGCUAUGCUGUAGUUCCUCACUGCCAAACAGGUUGUCCAGUUUCCUGCACUUUUCUGCAUCUGCUUGCAGCUUUUUCUGUUUUUCAUCACGGGCUUUUUCUGCUUACGCUUUUUCGACCCUUUCUCCAUCUCGCACUCAUUCUGGUGGUUGUGAUUACGGUUUAUCCUGGGGGAGGGACAUUUCUGUGAUUGGCCAAUGGAUAUGCAGUGAGAAUACUGUGGUGGGCCAAUGCACACUUCAGGAUUAUUAUUCAGGAAUAUUAAAACAGAAUUUAGUUUUCACUCUCUCAGCGGCCCACAUACAGAGCGGCCCACCGGGAAAACUCCCGACCCUCCCGAUGGCCAGUCCAUCCCUGCAGUCAGGUGAAAAGUAGCUUUAAUAAUGCAGUCAACAGAAGAGGGACACGUCACCCCUGUGGAUCUACAAAAUGAAGAAUUCCAGAAGAAAAUAAUACAAAAGGAGGAGGAUGAAGAUGAUGAUGAUUUCUUCUGUGAAGUCACUUUAAUCCCUCCAGAACUUGUU